rnacentral:rRNA from 1 species
GUGGGGAAUCUUCCGCAAUGGACGAAAGUCUGACGGAGCAACGCCGCGUGAGUGAAGAAGGUUUUCGGAUCGUAAAGCUCUUUCGUUAGGGACGAACGUGCUCUUUGUGAAUAAUGAGGAGUAAUGACGGUACCUAAAUAAGAAGCCACGGCUAACUACGUGCCAGCAGCCGCGGUAAUACGUAGGUGGCAAGCGUUGUCCGGAAUUAUUGGGCGUAAAGCGCGCGCAGGCGGGAUAUCAAGUCUGUCUUAAAAGUGCGAGGCUCAACCUCGUGAGGGGACAGAAACUGGUAUUCUUGAGUGUCGGAGAGGAAAGUGGAAUUCCAAGUGUAGCGGUGAAAUGCGUAGAUAUUAGGAAGAACACCAGUGGCGAAGGCGACUUUCUGGACGAAAACUGACGCUGAGGCGCGAAAGCCAGGGGAGCGAACGGGAUUAGAAACCCCGGUAGUCC